UCCAUAAAUACAUUUAAAUUGAAUCAUUAUGACUUUUUUUUUAAUGUUAAUUCUAUAGUCUGAAAAAAGAUCAACUUUAUUUCUCUCAUUUGGAGAGUAUUUUCAGAUGGCUGUUAAAAGGUGUUUCCCUCCCCCAUCCCCCCUUUCACUCAACUGCUGGAGAGUAACUAGAAACAAAUCUGUUGCUUGGAAUAAAUGUUCAGUCCAUAUGUUAUCUUUCAUGGUAGCUGAUGGAAGUGCGAAAUCCUCCUCAGUGAAUGCUGCUUGCGGUCUGGCCCUGCCCCCACCACCAUAUGUAACACAUUUAGGAGUGGGGAGAGCACUUCCUUCGUCAUUUGACUCUGUUGCUUGCGUUUUUCCUUGAGUAACAUAGAAAAUUGAAAGAGAAUCAGCGGUACCAGUACAAAGAGUGGACAGACCAACUACGCUGUUCCAAAAGGCAUUAAAGAGCUGUGAUGAGCAAAGAAAGUAAAAAGGAAAAGACAGAGAUUAAGCACAUUCUUCAAAUCUCUGCACAUUAGGAAAUGGAAGAAUCAUCCUGGAGUCUGGAAACAGACCUGGGCUCGUUCCCAGCACCAUCAUCGACCUGUCUCCAGAGUGAACACAGCUCUCCUGACAUUGGUUCUAUAGGACCCAAUUUUGGACUUCUGACCUCCAGAAAUG